GAAUAUUGGACAAUGGGCGAAAGCCUGAUCCAGCCAUGCCGCGUGAGUGACGAAGGCCUUAGGGUUGUAAAGCUCUUUUGGCGGGGACGAUAAUGACGGUACCCGCAGAAUAAGCCCCGGCUAACUUCGUGCCAGCCGCCGCGGUAAUACGAAGGGGGCUAGCGUUGUUCGGAAUCACUGGGCGUAAAGCGCACGUAGGCGGAUUUGUAAGUCAGGGGUGAAAUCCCGGGGCUCAACCUCGGAACUGCCUCUGAUACUGCAAGUCUCGAGUCCGGAAGAGGUGAGUGGAAUUCCUAGUGUAGAGGUGAAAUUCGUAGAUAUUAGGAAGAACACCAGUGGCGAAGGCGGCUCACUGGUCCGGUACUGACGCUGAGGUGCGAAAGCGUGGGGAGCAAACAGG
rnacentral:rRNA from 1 species